rnacentral:autocatalytically_spliced_intron from 1 species
GUGCGACACGAAGUCGCUUAAUGAAGUUGUUCCCCCUGCGGGAACCACCCGUGUCACCGGGUGAAUCUAGAAGGCUGAAUAAAGAGCGCCUUCGACAAUGUAACGAGGCACCGCAAGGUGCGGGGUAUCAAUCGUGAGAGACGUACCCUUCUGGCAGCCAUAGCCGGACAAGGGCUAGAUAAUCGGUAUGGUGAACACAUGUGAAUCUGCGUAACGAUCGUUAAGUUGAACGAGCGGAAAUGGCUGAUACGCUCGAACCAAAACGGUAAUGGAGGUGGGAAUUGCGUCUUUCGACUACGCAUUCGUGACCCAUACGCCUCCCGGUCGAUAGCAGGCACCUAAGCCGAUGUACUUCAGUAAGCGGAACGUGGAAAUCCCGUAUUACUCCCAUUGGGAAAGCAGUUUGCAAAAACUGCCCAUGGUGAUGCGGGCGAAGGAACGAGGAAAAAGCGAAUGCCAGUCUGUAAUGGGUUGGAUAGAGGUUGAAACAUUACCCCACGCGAAAGCGGGCUGACGUCCUUAUGGUCUCUCAUCACAAGAGAGUGUGUAGAACCCUUUUAAUGGAGGGAGAGCAAAUGAAUGCAGCAGUAUCAGCGUGUGCACCUUCCAGCACAUCGUGGGACAGCAUCGAUUGGAUUGCUGUACAGCGUCAUGUCAGAGGGCUGCAAGCGCGUAUUGUGAAGGCGGUACAAGACGGCAGGCAUAACAAGGCGAAAGCUUUGCAAUGGCUGCUGACUCACUCGUUUAGUGGCAAAGCAUUGGCCGUCAAACGAGUGUCUGAAAACAAAGGCAAAAACACGGCUGGGGUCGACAAGGUGACUUGGAAUACACCCAAGGCCAAGACCGGUGCGAUGAUGUCGUUGAAGAGGCGAGGUUACACGCCCCUUCCGCUUCGGAGAGUCCUUAUUCCGAAGAAAAAUGGCAAGAUGAGACCUCUCGGGAUACCCACGAUGAAAUGCCGGGCCAUGCAGGCGCUCCAUCUGCUGGCUUUGGAACCCAUCGCGGAGACCAUCGCUGAUCGGAACUCUUAUGGAUUCAGACCACAACGCUCAACCGCGGAUGCUGCAGCACAGUGCUUUGGUGUGCUGUCAAGAAAAGUAAGUGCGGAGUGGGUGCUAGAGGGUGACAUUCAAGGCUGUUUCGACAAUAUCAGCCAUGACUGGAUGAUCGCCAACCUCCCAAUGGACAAGGUGAUUCUACGGAAAUGGCUCAAAGCCGGUUACGUCUACCAAAGCAAGCUGUUUCCCAGUCUUUCCGGAACACCGCAAGGAGGUAUUAUCUCCCCGGUGUUGGCCAACAUGACCUUGGACGGACUGGAAACGAUGCUGGCGAAGAGGUUCCCUAACGCCAAAUGGACAGGCAAAAAGCUGCAACUGGUACGGUAUGCGGAUGAUUUCAUCAUCACGGGGUAUUCUAAAGAGUGGCUCGAAAAUGAAGUUCGCCCUGCCGUGGUUGAAUUUCUGGCGCAGCGCGGUCUCGUGCUCUCUCAGGAAAAGACCAAAAUCACGCACAUAGGGAACGGGUUCGAUUUUCUUGGGUGGAACGUACGCAAGUACAAUGGCAAGCUACUGAUCAAGCCGUCAAAGGCAAACAUCAGUGCUCAUCUCGAUAAGCUGCGAGCAUUAAUCAAUGCAAACAAAGCGACACGACAGGCCACUUUGAUCGGUUUGCUCAACCCUAUUCUAAGGGGUUGGGCCAACUAUCAUAGUUAUGUCGUUGCCAAGAAGGUUUUCAACCAGGUAGACAGCGCAGUGUGGGAAAUGCUCUGGCGAUGGGCGGUACGUCGCCACCCUCGCAAAACACUCCGAUGGGUCAAAGAUCGGUAUUUCAAAGUACAAGGAGCGCGUCGAUGGGUGUUCUCAUGUGAUGAACAGUCCGCCGAUGGUCGGAAGCGACAAUACACAUUAGUGUCUGCCUCGGACACGCCAAUUGUGCGACAUAUCAAGAUCAAGGCUGCUGCUAACCCUCAUGACCCCGCAUGGGAUGAGUACUUCGAAUCCCGAUGGGGUAAAAGAAUGCUGGUCUCCGCAAAGGGGCGAGCCAAGCUGUAUCGGGUGUGGCUAAAACAAGGUGGUCGCUGCUGCGCCUGUCUUAAACCAGUCACCAAAGAUACACCAUGGCACAGCCGUCAUAUUGUGAAGCUAAGUCAUGGUGGAACGGAUGCAGUUGCUAAUCUUGAGAUUUACCAUCUGUAUUGUCCGAGGAGUGUUCAGUUUGCCAAUGUCAACGAUGUAUAACCGGGUGCCGAAUGGCGCCUUAGCAGAGGCUUGAGCCGUGUGCUGGGAAACUCGCAUGCACGGUUCUUAGGGGGUUGGACGUAGGUAACUGCGUCUGACUACCCGAC